rnacentral:rRNA from 1 species
GCAGUCGAGCGAGUGGAUCUCCUUCGGGAGUGAAGCUAGCGGCGGACGGGUGAGUAACACGUGAGUAACCUGCCUCUGAGAGUGGGAUAGCUUCUGGAAACGGAUGGUAAUACCGCAUAACAUCAUGGAUUCGCAUGUUUCUAUGAUCAAAGAUUUAUCGCUCAGAGAUGGACUCGCGUCUGAUUAGCUAGUUGGUAAGGUAACGGCUUACCAAGGCGACGAUCAGUAGCCGGACUGAGAGGUUGAUCGGCCACAUUGGGACUGAGACACGGCCCAGACUCCUACGGGAGGCAGCAGUGGGGAAUAUUGCACAAUGGGGGAAACCCUGAUGCAGCGAUGCCGCGUGGAGGAAGAAGGUUUUCGGAUUGUAAACUCCUGUUGAAGAGGACGAUGAUGACGGUACUCUUUUAGAAAGCUCCGGCUAACUACGUGCCAGCAGCCGCGGUAAUACGUAGGGAGCGAGCGUUGUCCGGAAUUACUGGGUGUAAAGGGAGCGUAGGCGGGAUGGCAAGUCAGAUGUGAAAACUAUGGGCUCAACCCAUAGACUGCAUUUGAAACUGUUGUUCUUGAGUGAGGUAGAGGUAAGCGGAAUUCCUGGUGUAGCGGUGAAAUGCGUAGAGAUCAGGAGGAACAUCGGUGGCGAAGGCGGCUUACUGGGCCUUUACUGACGCUGAGGCUCGAAAGCGUGNGGAGCAAACAGGAUUAGAUACCCNGGUAGUC